rnacentral:rRNA from 1 species
UACGUAGGUGGCAAGCGUUAUCCGGAUUUAUUGGGCGUAAAGGGAACGCAGGCGGUCUUUUAAGUCUGAUGUGAAAGCCUUCGGCUUAACCGGAGUAGUGCAUUGGAAACUGGGAGACUUGAGUGCAGAAGAGGAGAGUGGAACUCCAUGUGUAGCGGUGAAAUGCGUAGAUAUAUGGAAGAACACCAGUGGCGAAGGCGGCCACCUGGACGACAACUGACGCUGAGGUGCGAAAGCGUGGGUAGCAAACAGG